CCUACGGGGGGCAGCAGGGAGGAAUAUUGGUCAAUGGACGAGAGUCUGAACCAGCCAAGUAGCGUGAAGGAUGACUGCCCUAUGGGUUGUAAACUUCUGUUAUAAAGGAAUAAAACGAGGCACGUGUGCCAUUUUGCAUGUACGUUAUGAAUAAGGAUCGGCUAACUCCGUGCCAGCAGCCGCGGUAAUACGGAGGAUCCGAGCGUUCUCCGGAUUUAUGGGGUUUAAAGGGAGCGUAGAUGGGUUGUUAAGUCAGUUGUGAAAGUUUGCGGCUCAACCGUAAAAUUGCAAUUGUUACUGGCAGCCUUGAGUACAGUUGCGGUAGGCGGAAUUCGUGGUGUAGCGG
rnacentral:rRNA from 1 species